rnacentral:lncRNA from 1 species
CAUUAGACCACAUUCAUUCUGUGUCAGAAACCUAUGCUGUGUCAACUAUUUAAUUUUAGAUUUAAAUAAGUUUGAAGAAGAAAUCUUUAAUUGAUUUGUAAAAUCUUGACAUUUGUUUUGUGUAAAAAACCCAUAUAAUGUCAAAAAUUUGAUCACAAUCCAAAUUCAGAGCUGUAUCACGCUUAAAUGUUUUGUCCAUACCUGCCCCAACUGUUCAGGGAU